rnacentral:tRNA from 1 species
GAGAAAUUAGUUAACUUAUAACACUACCUUGUCAAGGUAAAAUAACGGACUAAACCUCCGUACUUCUCU